AGUGAACGCUGGCGGUAGGCCUAACACAUGCAAGUCGAACGGCAGCACAGUAAGAGCUUGCUCUUACGGGUGGCGAGUGGCGGACGGGUGAGGAAUACAUCGGAAUCUACUUUUUCGUGGGGGAUAACGUAGGGAAACUUACGCUAAUACCGCAUACGACCUACGGGUGAAAGCAGGGGAUCUUCGGACCUUGCGCGAUUGAAUGAGCCGAUGUCGGAUUAGCUAGUUGGCGGGGUAAAGGCCCACCAAGGCGACGAUCCGUAGCUGGUCUGAGAGGAUGAUAGGCACACUGGAAACGGGAAAACGGCCCGGCCCCUUAGGGGAGGCACAGUGGGGGAAAAUGGGCAAAGGGGGGCAAGCCGGAUCCAGCAAUACGGGGGGGUGGAAGAAGGCUUUCGGGUGGUAAGCCCUUUUGUUGGGAAAGAAAAGCAGCAGGUUAAUACCCCGCUGUUCUGACGGUACCCAAAGAAUAAGCACCGGCUAACUUCGUG
rnacentral:rRNA from 1 species